UCAUCAUUUUUUAUUUGUUUUCGACGACUAUGGUGAUGAUUGCCGGAGGCGGUGUGACCCUGCAAAUGUACAAG
rnacentral:tRNA from 1 species